AAGUAGCAACGUUACAAUAUAGGUCAAAUAUGUGAGUUGUGUCUAAUUAUUCAACAAUAGAUAAAGUAGCAACUUUAAAAUAUAGGUCAAAUAUAUUUACUAAAUGAACAUGGCGGACGGUCUGAUCAUAAGACGAGCUACAUUAGAAGACUAUCGGGGUGUUAUGGAUAUUGGAGAGAUUUAUCUAGGACGAGAUUAUCUUCCUGUGAUGUAUGAAAAGUAUUUAAAAUGGUUCAACUGUCGGGUGGCAGAAAUAAAAGGCGAAAUAGUGGGUUUUAAUGGAGAAAGACUGGUGGAUGGUGGUAUGACUUUGUGUAGAGCGGCAGCACGUGUGAAAGAGACUUACAAAGAUCAAGGUGUUUUGGCUGCCAUAUUGAAAGAUACUUAUGAGUUUUAUCAAGAUAAAGAAUCGGUGAAAUAUGAAGCGAUUACUAUUAGCAACGUCAGUAUGGAAGCGAAAAGUGACAAAAUAAAGCGACGAUUUACAAGACUCUUUGAAAGGGUUUUUCUGGAGAUGGCUAUAGAAGUUGGGGAUUUUAAACCAAAAACAGUUGAAUUUGAUCAAACCGAUGUCCAGGAACUGACAUCAGAAGACUUGGGUGAAAUAUUCAAAUCUAAAGAAAUGUGUUCCAAAUUAUUUCCUGGAGAAAGAAUUGUACCGUCUGCUACCUGAGAAUAUACCUCUAAUGAUGGAUGGGUUUAAAUUCUGGGGCACUAAAGGUUCUGAUCAAUCAACAUACACAACACUGACUGUUACGGAACAUUUCAAGUUAAGAAAUAGAUUGAUUUUCAAAAUUUGUAUUUAUGGAAGUGACACAGUUGAUAUACAACAACAUUGUCUGAAACAUAUACAUAAUCUGAAUAUAUUGGUUAAAAGUGGUACAUGUACGUCUAUUAUGAUUCACAUAACUUAUUCACUAGAUUGUGAAGAUACCGCGACAUUUUUAUCUGUAUUUGAAAAGAGUGGCCUUAAAAUUAUCGAUGAUAUGGGCGUGAAUAGAAUGAUUAUGUUAGAACGGAAAAUAAGAUGAACUGCUACAUCAUAUCAGCAAUAAUUGAACUUAACAAUUGAAUUGUAAUUUUAAUUUUAAUAACUUUAUGAUUAUUAAGUAAUAAUUUCAUUGUUGUUCUUUUAAUUAAUUUCUGUUUUAAUGGAUUUUAAUUAUUUAUUUUUAUUUUUUUAUGAUUACAAUAUUAUUAUUAUUAUUAUUAUUAUUAUUAUUACAGCAUAUUUAUAGUCCUCGCUUUCAUAUAACAUAUUCAGGGGCACUUUACAAAGUGACAAUAUAAUCAUAAAGAAACAACAAGAUUAUUGACAUGUUAACAGUUGUAUACAGAGUAAAUAGGAAUUUAUAUUUAAGUAAGG